GACGGAGGGCGCGAGCGUUGUUCGGAAUUACUGGGCGUAAAGCGCGCGCAGGCGGAUGUGGCAAGUCGGGAGUGAAAUCCCGGGGCUCAACCCCGUGGACUGCUCCCGAUACUGCUCGUCUAGGGACCGGUAGAGGCCGGUGGAAUUCCCGGUGUAGCGGUGGAAUGCGUAGAGAUCGGGAGGAACACCUGUGGCGAAGGCGGCCGGCUGGGCCGGAUCCGACGCUGAGGCGCGAAAGCGUGGGGAGCAAACAGGAUUAGAAACCCCCGUAGUCC
rnacentral:rRNA from 1 species